GUAUGUGCUUAACAAUUGUGAGGAUGUUGAUGAAUAUCUUAAGAUUCACAUUGAAGAAUUACAAAAGGAAAGUGUUAUAGAUGUGCAAAAAAGACACCAGGCAGGAUUUGCCAGUUGGUUCAAGGAGUGUGUUGGACGCUUACGUGCUACUGGAUUGGUUGCAGCAACAGAUCAUAUAUAUGCGUUGGGAUUAGGUCCUGAUAUACGAAUUGCUAGGUACAGUGGGAUAAUUGUCAAUGGAGUUAGGUUUCACACAGUUGA